AUUGAACGCUGGCGGCAUGCUUUACACAUGCAAGUCGAACGGCAGCACGAGUGCUUGCACUUGGUGGCGAGUGGCGAACGGGUGAGUAAUACAUCGGAACGUGUCCUAAAGUGGGGGAUAACGCAUCGAAAGAUGUGCUAAUACCGCAUAAACUCUACGGAGCAAAGUAGGGGAUCGAAAGACCUUGCGCUUUUGGAGCGGCCGAUAUCUGAUUAGCUAGUUGGUAAGGUAAAAGCUUACCAAGGCGACGAUCAGUAGUUGGUCUGAGAGGACGACCAGCCACACUGGGACUGAGACACGGCCCAGACUCCUACGGGAGGCAGCAGUGGGGAAUUUUGGACAAUGGGCGAAAGCCUGAUCCAGCAAUGCCGCGUGAGUGAAGAAGGCCUCGGUUGUAAGA
rnacentral:rRNA from 1 species